rnacentral:rRNA from 1 species
GCAGUGGGGAAUAUUGCACAAUGGGCGAAAGCCUGAUGCAGCGACGCCGCGUGGGGGAUGACGGUCUUCGGAUUGUAAACCCCUUUCAGUAGGGACGAAGCGCAAGUGACGGUACCUGCAGAAGAAGCACCGGCUAACUACGUGCCAGCAGCCGCGGUAAUACGUAGGGUGCGAGCGUUGUCCGGAAUUACUGGGCGUAAAGAGCUCGUAGGCGGUUUGUCACGUCGUCUGUGAAAUCCCUCGGCUUAACCGGGGGCGUGCAGGCGAUACGGGCAGACUUGAGUACUACAGGGGAGACUGGAAUUCCUGGUGUAGCGGUGAAAUGCGCAGAUAUCAGGAGGAACACCGGUGGCGAAGGCGGGUCUCUGGGUAGUAACYGACGCUGAGGAGCGAAAGCAUGGGUAGCGAACAGGAUUAGAUACCCUGGUAGUCCAUGCCGUAAACGGUGGGCGCUAGGUGUGGGGUYCUUCCACGGACUCCGUGCCGUAGCUAACGCAUUAAGCGCCCCGCCUGGGGAGUACGGCCGCAAGGCUAAAACUCAAAGGAAUUGACGGGGGCCCGCACAAGCGGCGGAGCAUGUGGAUUAAUUCGAUGCAACGCGAAGAACCUUACCUAGGCUUGACAUAUACAGGACGACGGCAGA